GCCCUGGUGGUGCAGUGGUUAAGUGCUGGUACUGCAGCUACAAGGUUGUGAGUUCGAUUCCAACCAGGGGCU